rnacentral:lncRNA from 7 species
GGUCUUGCUCUUGCUUCCAGUGGGACCAAAUUUUAAGCCAAGUCUUGCAGACCAUUUGAGCCAAAGGAAAGUGAAUGAAGAGUUCUGUAUUUGGAUGGUGGUCAUGACUCAGAUUUUUUUUUUUUUAACCUACACCUUCAAAGGAAGGAAAUACCAGAAGCCUUGCAAUAUAAUAUGCACAGCUGACCUUUUGUGUCCUGGAUUGCAUCAGACAGGAAGAAAAUACUUCAAGCUCUUGCUUGUGAGUUGUUCCUUCCCUAUGAUAGAUAGUAAUCAGAAUAAUUUCUACAAGACCUUUGACCUCUGCGUACUGCUAUGAAGGAUGAUGAAGGACUUCUCAUUCUUGGCUUGGAUUGGCUGGAAUUCAUUGGAUUUUCUGCCUGCCUUGAAUCAGGGCUCUGUCAGGAUAAAACAACAUUUCAUGGGACUACAAUGACUUAACAUGAGAGCAAAGAUGUUCGCGCUUCUGUUCAGCCUUGCCUGGGUAGGCUCCUGUCUCUUGCUGCUUUAAGGAUCAACGGGAAGUUGAAUUUGUGGAGGGGAGUGCAGCCAGGUGGGAGAGAGGAGGUCUCUUGCAUAGAGCUGAGCUGGGCACUGCAGAGCUGCUCUGAAUCUGUGAUAAAUGCUUUGUUUGUCAGGCUGUGUGCUUGUGAGCAGUUCAAACCAUACAAAUGUCAGUAGCAGAAAUAAAGAAUUUUGUGUAGCUUAAAGAGAUUCUUUUUGUCACCAAACAGUGCUUGUUAUGAAAUAUAUUAGAGCUGUUCAGUGCAUUAAUAUAAUUAGUUUAGUCUGUUAACUAGUGUAUUUCAUCCAAUGCUGUAGUCUGUGUUUGCUGACAAUAAAAUU